rnacentral:rRNA from 1 species
UGGGGAAUAUUGCACAAUGGGCGAAAGCCUGAUGCAGCAACGCCGCGUGAGUGAUGAAGGCCUUCGGGUUGUAAAGCUCUGUCUUUUGGGACGAUAAUGACGGUACCAAAGGAGGAAGCCACGGCUAACUACGUGCCAGCAGCCGCGGUAAUACGUAGGUGGCAAGCGUUGUCCGGAUUUUACUGGGCGUAAAGGAUGCGUAGGCGGAUUUUUAAGUGGGAUGUGAAACCCUAAGCUUAACUUGGGGACUGCAUUUCAUACUGGAAAUCUAGAGUGCGGGAGAGGAGAAUGGAAUUCCUAGUGUAGCGGUGAAAUGCGUAGAGAUUAGGAAGAACACCAGUGGCGAAGGCGAUUCUCUGGACCGUAACUGACGCUGAGGCAUGAAAGCGUGGGUAGCAAACAGGAUUAGAUACCCUGGUAGUCCACGCCGUAAACGAUGAGUACUAGGUGUAGGAGGUAUCGACCCCUUCUGUGCCGCAGUUAACACAAUAAGUACUCCGCCUGGGAAGUACGAUCGCAAGAUUAAAACUCAAAGGAAUUGAC